UAGAAAAACAUGAGGAUUGGGGGACCAUAAACACCCAUACCCUUAAUUUCCAUUAUAAUAAUAUAAAGAGAGAACGUGGUCACCUGAUAGCAUGUGAUGGGGAUGGGUUGGUUUUUAAAAUUUUUAUUUUUAUUUUUUUCAUUUACAUUUUUUUCUUUUAUUAUUGAAUUUUCUUAUUUUUAUUUUGUUUUAUUUUAUUUAUUUUCCGUUAUACAUAGGUGUAAGUACCCCACUGCGCACUCACACGUAAAGCAGGCAUUAUUUGGGUAAAAUGCGCCUUGUGUGAGUGAAGUGAACUCUACUCACCCCUCCCCCAUCUAUAAAGCAGGUAACACAGAUUACACAUGCUAUUGUGGUCCAUGAGAAUCCGUAUGGCCAUUCAUGGUUGUUCCAUCUCUCUCUAUCUCUCUCACACACACAAACACACACUAAUGAACAACUAUCUCUUCUAGUGAAUGAAAGAUAAGGAGUGUGAUGAGAUGUGAGGUGAUAAAGAAUUUCGCGAGUCCUGUCAUGCUUUUCCACAGCUUUCUUGAACUUCAACUACUGCUUUAAUCUGUUUGGAUCAACCAUGGAAGUUCAAGAAAGCUGUGGGAAAACAUGGCAAUUCAGGAUUUCACCGCGCUCCCGCUCUCUCCUCCAUUUCAAUCCGGCAUGCCACGAUGAAUUGAUGCAGUAAUGUGAUAAUGCUUUAUCUCCAUGCAUGCAUGGUAAUUCUGUACUCUAGCCAGAAAUCGAAGUUGAACAUCAGGCCAAAAAAAACCAUGUUUUGGAGCACCAAAGCCCAUUCUACAAACGACCUAGACACCUUGUGUGGUGGGAGGCCCUAGCCUGGAUCGAACGAUACUAUAACUAUCUACCGGUCUUUAUAUGUCCAAGACCCUGUUGUGUUUAUUCAAUAUGAACCAAGAACCCGUGCAAAUAGUCCUGUAUACCAUAAAAGGAGAUGUUAAUACAAAGAAUACAAAUGCUCAAAUUAAGUUUAGUGAAUGCAUGUUGUGAUCAUGGUUCGCUGCAUCGGCCGGUUCGUAUCGUUGGAUUGGUUUAUAUUGAUAUUCGUCAAAAUCCUUUAUAUCACGACCAAUGCUGUGACUGCAAACCAUGACUGUGAUAGAUUGUGGCUAUUUGAAUUAUAUAAUUGGUUGAUGUUUUGGGAGUAGCACUCAUUUUUUUUAAUAGCUAAUGUAUAAAUAAUUUCAUUUGUUUUCAAGACCAAGCAAUUUUGAGAUGACAAAUUGCAAUAAUUAAAUUGUUGACUAGUAUACUACUAGAAAAUAAAAAAUGGAUCAGAGGAUGGCUGCUUCAUUGGAUCCGAAUAAUUCAAACCCAUCACUCUCCUUGUGGGGAAACAAGCCAUUUAUUCUCUGUUUUUCAUGGCACAUCAAUGUCGGGCCAACAUCGGUACUGAAAUUGUUGCAUUAAAAAUUAACUAAAAUGUAUCCAAACAUGAGGUGUAUAACUACUUUUGUUGUUGUAAUAUCAUUCCUAAAUGUGCAUGUAACCGACAUUCUGAUAAAUCUCUAGUUCAUGUAUAAAAUCUGUAGUCAAUUUACCCAAGUGUUUGACCAAGCCUGAAUUUUUUUUUUUUUUUUUUCACUUACCAGUUCAUUUCUCAAGUUUUCCACACCUUAGAUUUGUUUUGUGUUUUUUUAAAAAAAAAAAAAUUCAAUUUGUCACAUUAGCCUUGCAUGAUUAAUUAAUGAGUUUGGGUUGAACAAUUUAAAAUUAUUGUGUAAAAAAAAAAAAAAAAAACAGAU